UAGGGAAUCUUCCGCAAUGGACGAAAGUCUGACGGAGCAACGCCGCGUGAGUGAAGAAGGAUUUCGGUUCGUAAAACUCUGUUGUUAGGGAAGAAAAAAUGUAUAGUAACUAUAUACAAAAGAGACGGUACCUAACCAGAAAGCCACGGCUAACUACGUGCCAGCAGCCGCGGUAAUACGUAGGUGGCAAGCGUUGUCCGGAAUUAUUGGGCGUAAAGCGCGCGCAGGUGGUUUAGAAAGUCUGAUGUGAAAGCCCACGGCUCAACCGUGGAGGGUCAUUGGAAACUAAUAAACUUGAGUGCAGGAGAGAAAAGUGGAAUUCCUAGUGUAGCGGUGAAAUGCGUAGAGAUUAGGAGGAACACCGGUGGCGAAAGCGGCUUUUUGGCCUGCAACUGACACUGAGGCGCGAAAGCGUGGGGAGCAAACAGGA
rnacentral:rRNA from 1 species